AUGGAGGUUGCCGGCGCCCGUGGUCCGGUGAAGCCACUCAACCUCGACAGCGGGGCCAGCACCGGGCAGAAGCCGCGACUGUCGGAGUCGGACGUGAAGCUCAUCCUGGCCCUGAAGAGCGAGGCGUGCCCGACGCCGGAGGACCCGGAGAGGGCGGCGCUCGCCCGGAGGAUCGACGCCAUGUGGAACGAGUUCCGCGACGACGUCGUGGAGCAGUUCUUCACCAAGGGCUACGUGGAGGUGGAGCACGGCUACUUCGCCGAGAGGGCCAGGUCGGAGGCUUGGGUCAGGGAGAAGUGGGCGACGCUGGACUUCAGCAAGUUCGAGCUGUACCGCCCCGGCGACGAGGGGCUCGACGACUUCGUGGUUCGUCCCGGCGAGGAUGCGGAGGAGGCCAUCUACUACGGCCAAGAGUGA
rnacentral:rRNA from 1 species